rnacentral:rRNA from 1 species
GAUGAACGCUAGCGGCAGGCUUAAUACAUGCAAGUCGAGGGGCAGCAUAAUUGUAGCAACACAGUUGAUGGCGACCGGCAAACGGGUGCGGAACACGUACAGAACCUUCCUUCGAGCGGGGAAUAGCCCAGAGAAAUUUGGAUUAAUACCCCAUAGUAUUACGGAGUGGCAUCACUUUGUAAUUAAAGAUUUAUCACUUGAAGAUGGAUGUGCGGCUGAUUAGGUAGUUGGCGGGGUAACGGCCCACCAAGCCUGCGAUCAGUAACUGGUGUGAGCGCGCGACCAGUCACACGGGCACUGAGAAACGGGCCCGACUCCUACGGGAGGCAGCAGUAAGGAAUAUUGGUCAAUGGACGAAAGUCUGAACCAGCCCUGCCGCGUGAAGGAUGAAGGUCCUCUGGAUUGUAAACUUCUUUUAUAUGGGACGAAAAAAGGCUUUUCUAAGUCGUCUGACGGUACCAUAUGAAUAAGCACCGGCUAACUCCGUGCCAGCCGCCGCAGUAAUAC